UGGCGCCGUUCGACACCAGGCGGAUCCGCUCUGCAGCAGCAACCCAGCUCCAGCCGCAGCCGCAGCCGCCGCCUGGGCCGAGGAGCAGCCUCAGCCGCCGCCAGUGGCCGAGUGAGCGGAGCCGAGUUUGAGCCAGCGCCUAGCGGUGAAUCGGGGCCUCACCAUGAGUUCCUCGCCUGUUAAUGUGAAAAAGCUGAAGGUGUCGGAGCUGAAGGAGGAGCUCAAGAAGCGGCGCCUGUCCGACAAGGGCCUCAAGGCCGAGCUCAUGGAGCGUCUCCAGGCCGCGCUGGACGACGAGGAGGCCGGGGGCCGCCCCGCCAUGGAGCCCGGGAACGGCAGCCUAGACCUGGGCGGGGAUUCCGCCGGGCGCUCGGGAGCAGGCCUCGAGCAGGAGGCCGCGGCAGGCGGCGAUGACGACGAGGAGGAAGAGGAGGAGGAGGAGGAAGGGAUAGCCGCCCUGGAUGGCGACCAGAUGGAGCUCGGGGAGGAGAACGGCGCCGCGGGGGCGGCCGACUCGGGCCCGAUGGAGGAGGAGGAAGCCGCCUCGGAGGACGAGAACGGCGACGACCAGGGCUUCCAGGAAGGGGAGGAUGAGCUCGGAGACGAGGAGGAAGCCGCAGGCGACGAGAACGGGCACGGGGAGCAGCAGCCUCAACCGCCGGCGGCGCCGCAGCAACAGCCCCAGCAGCAGCGCGGGGCCGCCAAGGAGGCCGCGGGGAAGAGCAGCGGCCCCACGUCGCUGUUCGCGGUGACGGUGGCGCCGCCCGGGGCGAGGCAGGGCCAGCAGCAGGCGGGAGGUAAGAAGAAGGCGGAAGGCGGCGGAGGCGGCGGUCGCCCCGGGGCUCCGGCGGCGGGAGACGGCAAAACAGAACAGAAAGGCGGAGAUAAAAAGAGAGGUGUUAAAAGACCUCGAGAAGAUCAUGGCCGUGGCUAUUUUGAGUACAUUGAAGAGAACAAGUAUAGCAGAGCCAAAUCUCCUCAGCCACCUGUUGAAGAAGAAGAUGAGCACUUCGACGACACAGUUGUUUGUCUUGAUACUUAUAAUUGUGAUCUACAUUUUAAAAUAUCAAGAGAUCGCCUCAGUGCUUCUUCCCUUACUAUGGAGAGUUUUGCUUUUCUUUGGGCUGGAGGAAGGGCAUCCUAUGGUGUGUCAAAAGGCAAAGUCUGUUUUGAGAUGAAGGUUACAGAGAAGAUCCCAGUAAGGCAUUUAUAUACAAAAGAUAUUGACAUACACGAAGUUCGGAUUGGCUGGUCACUAACCACAAGUGGAAUGUUGCUUGGUGAAGAAGAAUUUUCUUAUGGGUAUUCUCUAAAAGGAAUAAAAACAUGCAGCUGUGAGACUGAAGAUUAUGGAGAGAAGUUUGAUGAAAAUGAUGUGAUUACAUGUUUUGUUAACUUUGAAAGUGAUGAAGUAGAACUGUCCUAUGCAAAGAAUGGACAAGAUCUUGGCAUUGCCUUCAAAAUCAGUAAGGAAGUUCUUGCUGGACGACCACUCUUCCCGCAUGUUCUGUGCCACAACUGUGCGGUUGAGUUUAAUUUUGGUCAGAAGGAAAAGCCAUAUUUUCCAAUACCUGAAGACUAUACUUUUAUCCAGAAUGUCCCCUUGGAGGAUCGAGUUAGAGGACCAAAGGGGCCUGAAGAGAAGAAAGAUUGUGAAGUGGUUAUGAUGAUUGGCUUGCCAGGAGCUGGAAAAACUACCUGGGUUACUAAACAUGCAGCAGAAAAUCCUGGUAAAUACAACAUUCUUGGAACAAACACCAUAAUGGAUAAAAUGAUGGUGGCAGGUUUUAAGAAGCAAAUGGCAGAUACUGGGAAACUAAACACGCUGUUGCAGAGAGCUCCACAGUGUCUUGGAAAGUUUAUUGAGAUUGCUGCCCGUAAGAAGAGAAAUUUCAUUUUGGAUCAGACAAAUGUGUCUGCUGCUGCCCAGAGGAGAAAAAUGUGCCUGUUUGCAGGCUUCCAACGAAAAGCUGUUGUAGUUUGCCCAAAAGAUGAAGACUAUAAGCAAAGAACACAGAAGAAAGCAGAAGUAGAGGGAAAAGACCUACCGGAACAUGCAGUCCUCAAAAUGAAAGGAAACUUCACUCUGCCAGAAGUAGCUGAGUGCUUUGAUGAAAUAACGUAUGUUGAACUUCAGAAGGAGGAAGCCCAAAAACUUUUGGAGCAAUAUAAGGAAGAAAGCAAAAAAGCUCUUCCACCGGAAAAGAAACAGAACACAGGCUCAAAGAAGAGCAAUAAAAAUAAGAGUGGCAAGAACCAGUUUAACAGAGGUGGUGGCCAUAGAGGGCGCGGUGGAUUCAAUAUGCGUGGUGGAAAUUUCAGAGGAGGAGCUCCUGGGAAUCGUGGUGGAUAUAAUAGGAGGGGCAAUAUGCCACAGAGAGGUGGUGGCGGUGGCGGAAGUGGUGGAAUUGGCUAUCCAUAUCCUCGUGGCCCUGUUUUUCCCAGCCGAGGCGGUUAUUCAAACAGAGGGAAUUACAACAGAGGCGGAAUGCCUAACAGAGGGAACUACAACCAGAACUUCAGAGGACGAGGAAACAAUCGUGGCUACAAAAAUCAAUCUCAGGGCUACAACCAGUGGCAGCAGGGUUCUGUCCAUGUGAAUGUGCUGUGUGGAAGAGUAAAAGGGUCCAAGUAAAUGUGUUCCAGUGAUUCCAAUAGGUAUUCCAAAUUAAUUGCUGCUUGUACAUUUAACACGUGUUAUACUGGGCUUCCAGGAUCACCUUAAUUAGAACUCUUAUUUUAAAAAGGCAGGGGAAAGGGAGAAAUUAGUAACUAAGUGCAUAGAUUUGUUUGUAACAGGAAAGAAAGGUUCUCUAGUAUCUCCUUUGCAUACCUGAAAUGUGAGGUAUUUGGUGGUAUGUUAGCAAUUGGUGGUCCUCUUGCAUAGGUUAAAGGCAGUACAUGUAAAUAGAGCCAAGUCCCUUUAAGGUUAAAUCCUUAUUCUAAUGGUUCAAAUUCCUUCUAUUUAAUGUUAUGUAAGACAUUGUUUCAAUAUCCUCCCUACUUGUAGAGUUGAAAUACUUCCUUACAAUAUUCUAAUACAAAGAUAGCUAGGAUACCUAUGUCCUUGGGUUCCCAAAAUCUUUCUGUAUCUGUAUGAAAUGCACAAAUACUUUUUGUCAGCUUAUAAUAACUUGGAAAAUGAUCUUUUUGGAUAAUGAAGUGAUGUAAAUUUACAUCAAAGUACAAAAAGAUCAAGAAGUGAAAUUUAAGACAAGGACUUUGAUUAUGUUAGUCCAGAGCAUGUACUUUCUUGUUGCCCUGAAAUUAUUUAAAGACUUAAUAAGAAGCUUAGAAGAAAUUAGUUUUUCCCACUACAUACUUGAGAAUAAUGUAUUUUGGUGAAGUGAGAGGACUUGGCUGCUGUACUGACUGAAAAUAUAACUACCAGGGUUUCCUCAGUGAAAUACAGUUCUACUCUGUCAAAUAAAAGCAAUCUCUAAAGACUUGAAGAGCAGACAACUUAGAGUAAAAGGUAAAAACUCAAAGCCAUUUCUGUUCAUUUGAGAGAAAACAAACUAGAAAGAUGUUUUUAAAGCAAACUUAGAAUUUAGAUAGUAGAACACGUUUCAUUUCACGUGACUAGUCCUUGUGGUCUAAGGGGGAAGACAUUUUUAUGAAAACUUAACCCUUUAAGAAACCAGUAUAUGCAAAUUUGAAUCCCCUAAGGGUAGGCCAUAUAUAAUAGGUGUUUUACAACUUACAGAACUUGGUAAAAGUUAUUCCUAGAAAAGAGUAGAAAAGAUAGCUGCCUGUUAAGUCCAUGUGAACAUUUAGUGAACAAUAGAAACUUUUAAUUUAGUACUUAUAGUCACUGGUAGCUUUCUCAAGAUAAAAAUACUUGGAAAAAGUCAUCUUUUAAUCUCUAGAAAAUAAAGAGUGGUUGAAAAGACUCAAAUGUUUGCAACACUGAUCAGUAGUGCUCACAUUAUGAACUUUAAAAUGUAAUACUUUAUUAAAAAACUAAGCUUUUUUGUCCCUAAAGCUUGUCUUAAAAGAAAAUUUAAAUAUGGAACUUAAUGCACAAAAACAACGUGUAAGAUACCAGUAUUUGGGUGGUAGAGGAUAUUAUAUAUUAUUACUGACCUGAUUUGAUGACCAAUGGACCAUAUUUUAAGAUGCUUCCCAAAGAUAUUUUAUUCUAGAGUACUAUUAAAAACCACAGUUAAAGCAAUCAGUAAUUUUUCUACUUUCCUCAUUAAGGUAUUCUGCUUUCCCAAAGUAGUUUACGUUAACAUCACUUUUAAAGGGGUGUCUUAAUCCCCAUCCACCACAGAUUUUUACCUAGGAAUAGAAGGAUUCAAACCCUAUUUGAUCCCUAGCUUUUUGCUGAAAAGUGCAUAAACAGGAAUCCUGAAUUUAUUAUAUAGACCUCCUCGCAUUAUAAAAUCGAAGCAAAGGGAAACCAGCGAUGGAGUAGAGGUACGUAGACUGAAGAGAUGCUUGCAAAUUAAAUAAUGGUAUUAGGGAUAGUCAGAUUUCUUGUUGGCAAACUUGGUCAAUAGAAAUCACACGUCCAGAGAAAAGCUAGUUAAUUUUAAAUUCCCUGAGGUUCUUUUACUGAGAUGUAAAGCAAGUAGUCAAGGAAAAACAAAGAGGGAGGGGUGAGGGAAGGGGGGGAACUGCAUAAAGCACUUAGAGGUAGUUAAUUAAAGUAGGUAUGAUAAGCUGCAGUUUUAAACCUACUAAUUGCCACAAUUCUAUUUUAAUCAGCUAUUUAGCUGGUACCUACCGCUAUAUCACCUAGUGUGAAAUUUCGGAUUUAAUGGAAUAAUGAAGGAAGCAGUGCAGCUGGAGGCUUCAAGUGGGCUCGGAAGGUCUCCAAUUUAUGCAGUCAUUCUGCUGUGAAAAUGAACUAACCUUGUUAUUAUUGAAGGCCUUGGAAAUUUUUACCAGCUGAGAGAUUUUUCUCUUACUCAGGGUAAGACGUAAUCAUAGUGUGCUAGAGCUGGAAGGGACUUGACUUACAUAAUCCAUUUGCCUGAUUUCAUAUGUUACAUGUUAUCAAACUGAAGCUGAGAACGUAAGUGGCCUGCACAGCUUGUUAAAUAUCAAAUUUGAUUAGUACUCAUCAAUUCCUCCACCCCACCCCAACUCAUGCCUUUUAAAACAUGAGUGACUGUCACAUGGAAUUUUUAACAUAGUUGUUUAAGAUCAAUUUGAAUAAUACAGACUGCACCUAGCUCUGAUUUGUGUCAGUAACGGCAGGCAGAUGAUCUUGCAAAAACUUCUUUCUCUUUUCUAAUAACCUUCCCUUGUUAAUGUCCAAGUCUUUCCUUUGGUGGCUGCCAGAUGAUUAGGAUCAAUAAAAAUCUCUCAGAACAUAUAUGCUUGACAGUGUCACUCAUGAUAGGGCAUUUGGUAAACCAUAUAGCUUGUGUACCCUAACCCUCAUAAUGACAGCCAUAAGAAGGUGAGCAUGGGAGGGAAAAUGCUACUGCUCUUAUGAAGUGAACUGGAGCAGGCCCCUACCUAUCCUGAAAACGGAUUAAGAACAAAAUAAAGUUUCAAAACAUCUCUUCCUUGAUCUGUUUAGCUCACCCGUGAUAAUCAGUAGGACCAGUAAUAAUGCCAUAAUCCUAUCCACUGGUGUCUUUUCAUACUUAUCAUUCCUUAACCAGAAAGGUCUCUAAGCCUGUGUUUUAAGUAAUGUUGAUAUUUAUUAAACCAAAAAUGAUGAAUGAAUGAAUAAAUGCUGUGGACUUAGUUGGGUGUUGGGUGCUUUUUUUAAAUGGCAGCCAGUUGAAUUAUAAAUGUCUUUACGUUAAUGGAACAAUAUGUAAUUCUGCAGUAUUUUCCUUUGCACCAAACAAGUUUCUGAAAAUAUUUUUAUGUGUGCCAUGUACAUAUUUAAGUUCUACUUAAAAAUAAAAACCCUGCAUACAUCCCAAAAAUAUUUAGAGCAGCUAAAAACCACUUUUCCUUUCUGAGAGAUGACUCACCUGUUGAAGUGGAAGAAUAGGGUCAAGCAAUGGGUACAUUUUUAAAAUAAAAAUUGCAGAGUGACGGCCCAUUAGUUUUAAGUCUGAUAUAACAUCACUGGCUUUAGAAAUCAAAGUAUCCCCUCAUUUUUAACAGGGUACAGUAAUACAGUUGUGAUUUUUGUUUUUAAGGCAAGUUUUAACAUUGAACUGAGAUUUUAUUUCUUGAAACGUCAGGUGUACUCACUGCUUACCAUAAGGAAACACUUUUCUAAGCAUGAUAAACACGAGGUUUAUUUUAAGUAUGAGUCCACUAUGUGCUAUACUGACAGUAGAUACAGGGGCAGAAUAAGUUUGUACAUACACAUGUAAAAUGACAACAACUUACACAUACUUUAUUUACUUGGUUGAAAGCCUUGUGGUAUAUAAAAUGCUUUCUAUAGUUGAUCUCGGCUUGGUUCACACCGAAGUGAGUUGUAUCUGGGUUUUCUGUGCUCAAGACUGCUCAAUUGCUGCUGCUGCCGCUGUUGGUUUGUUUUCUUUCAGGAUCAAGGUGGGUACUUUCAUAUAAAAUCUUGUUUUUAAUUCCUUCUCUGGCACGUCUUUCCUGGAUUCUUAGCUUUGCAUAAUUAUACCUACAAUGGAACCUAGUAAGGAGAACAUGAAUAAAUUGAUAUAAUAUACCUGUAGAAACGAAUUUGAAAUUUGUAAUCAAAAUUUUUAAAUGCUUACAGAUGACUGUCAGUGGUUGUGAACACAUUCUUAAGGUAGCAUUUUCAGAUGUUAUGCCAUAGGUAGGGAUUGAAAUGAGCAUUAGGAUAAGAUAAAAGGUUGAGGCCUUCCUAAACGAAGUAUAAACCCUGACAUGGCAUUAAUGCAGUGCCUAAUGCCAUGCAUUCAUCUGUUCAUUUGACAGAUGACACAAGAUGUGUGUGUAUAUAUACAUAUUUAAAAGAUUAAAGGCAGUCCGGCAAUAUCAUUUUGUAAGAUAAAUUUCCGUGAGGGUGGGGAAUCUUAGUGGGAGAUUGCUCUGAGUAGAGCAUGUCCUUUGGAACUAGAUAAACCUAUUAGAAUCGUGGAUCUUCUUGAAUACUUAGCACACAUACCAGCAUCCUAAAGUCACCAAGAUAAAUCCUCCUAUUCCAACGUCACAUGAUCUUCUAAUUCUACCUGUCAAAAGGAAGCAUAAACACUAAUACACUGCAUGUUAUAAUACUUCCUCUAGGAAAAAAACUUCAGAGAAACAUGUUUUUUAUGCAUAGAGAAAAGCAGAUACUCACUAGUUAACAAAAAGUGUCCGAGGCCAGCCACAACAGAUCCUAAUGAGCCAUACAGUGUCGAAUCCCGAGCACAGGGGAUGUUUUCAACAUCUAAAAUUCCUAGGAGCUUAAAGGGCUACGAAAAAUAAAAAAACUUAGGUUGGACAAGAGAAUAUUUUAUUUUAGGGUGGUUUGGCAAAGACGAAAACCAUCUUUAAUCAUCCUGCUUUGGUAUGUAAUAUGAAUCUAAAAUGGAAACCCUGAGAAUUUGACCAGAAAGUCCUAAGCAGGUAGGGUAAAUUAAACCUAAAUAGAUUAUGGUACCAUGGUUAUGCUAUAAUUUGUUAAUCAACUGGUUUGGAGAUAAGGUAAGGGCAUACAUUAUUUUAUGAGCUCUUUAAACAUCUGUAUGAAAUCAUUUGGGGGAUUUGGCUAUCAUUGAAAUUUAAAAGCAGCAUAAUUUCCUUCUAAUAACCUGAGAUGCAUAGAUGGGAAAAGUGAAAUUGUCCUAACCAUGUUGCUUAUAAUAUUAGUAUACUGCUGUUUUAAAUUCCUUUAAGGAGGACUGCAGAUUUUCUGUGUUAACUAGUAACAACACAUCAGUUGUGUCUGUAAGAAUAAAUACUUUGUGUUGAGACAAAUCUCGUCUGUUUCUUGCCUGUGAUAUGACUUGCCUGUGAUAUGAAGUUGCUGUUGAUUCUAUUUCUUUGUUGAUAGUACAUGGUAACCAUACCUAGGUGUGAUGAAAAAAGCUGGAAAUCUACAGGGUUGGAUUUUAUUCUCAGCUCUGCCACUAACUUCUGUAACCUGUAGGACAUAUUUUUUUAUCUGGCCUGCAAUCUGUAAUGAAGGGGUUCAGCUAGGUGAUAAUUUAAGUUCCUUCAAGUGCUAAAAUGAAUGGUUUUAAAAUUCUUUAUAUAGUCUUCAUUGGAUUUAUGGAUUUGUUCUCCCUCAUUAAAAAAUACUGCCACUUUAAGCAUAACA